AUUACUCAAAUGUUCGGAGACACAGAACAUUAGAGAAGAUAGGAGUUCACUGUAGGUGAUGGUGAGAGUGGGCAUGGAGCAGGAGUGCC
ensembl:miRNA